UACAUUCCUUUCGCUGAUCGAUAAUUUGC
rnacentral:sRNA from 1 species